UUAGCGGCGGAUGGGUGAGGAACGCGUGGAGAACCUGCCCUUCACAGGGGGAUAACAGCUGGAAACGGCUGUUAAUACCGCAGUAUGCUCACAGCACCGCAGUGGUGCAGGGAGGAAAGCCGAGACGGUGAAGGAUGGCUCCGCGUCGGAUUAGCCGGUUGCGGGUAACGGCCCACCAAAGCGAUGAUCCGUAGCCGGCCUGAGAGGGCGACCGGCCACAUUGGGACUGAGACACGGCCCAAACUCCUACGGGAGGCAGCAGUGGGGGAUAUUGCACAAUGGGGGAAACCCUGAUGCAGCGACGCCGCGUGAAGGAAGACGUGCUCCGGCUAUGUAAACUUCUAUCAGCAGGGAAGAAGAUGACGGUACCUGACUAAGAAGCCCCGGCUAACUACGUGCCAGCAGCAGC
rnacentral:rRNA from 1 species